CGCCUCUUGCUAAACCAAAAAUAUAAGAGGUCCCGCCUGCCCUGUGACUAUAUGUUUAACGGCCGCGGUAUUUUGACCGUGCGAAGGUAGCGCAAUCACUUGUCUUUUAAAUGGGGACCGGUAUGAAUGGCAUAACGAGGGCUUGACUGUCUCCUCUUUCAGGUCAAUGAAAUUGAUCUCCCCGUGCAGAAGCGGGGAUAAAUACAUAAGACGAGAAGACCCUAUGGAGCUUUAGACACUAAAGCAGAUCAACAUUAAUACCCUAAAUACAGGGCACGAAUAAACUGAACCCUGCCCUAAUGUCUUAGGUUGGGGCGACCGCGGAGAAAUAAAAAACCCCCGCAAGGACCGAAUGUACCACAUUCACAACCAAGAGCGACAGCUCUAAUUAACAGAUACUUCUGACCAAUAAGAUCCGGCAACGCCGAUCAAUGGACCAAGUUACCCUAGGGAUAACAGCGCAAUCUCCUCUUAGAGCCCGUAUCAACGAGGAGGUUUACGACCUCGAUGUUGGAUCAGGACAUCCUAAUGGUGCAGCCGCUAUUAAGGGUUCGUUUGUUCAACGAUUAAAGUCCU
rnacentral:rRNA from 1 species